GGGGACGUGGCGGAAUUGGCAGACGCGCGACACUUAGGAUGUCGUGCCGCGAGGUGUGAGAGUUCGAGUCUCUCCGUCCCCACCA
rnacentral:tRNA from 1 species